rnacentral:misc_RNA from 1 species
UCCGAGUUGACCCCGGCAGUCUCCUACGAGUCCCCGGCAUAACCCGCUGGCAACAUAGGACAAGGGUUGCGCUCGUUGCGGGACUUAACCCAACAUCUCACGACACGAGCUGACGACAGCCAUGCACCACCUGUAUAGGACCCUUUCGGGCACCGAGGUAUCUCUACCCCGUUCCGCACAUGUCAAGGGUAGGUAAGGUUUUUCGCGUUGCAUCGAAUUAAUCCACAUAAUCCACCGCUUGUGCGGGUCCCCGUCAAUUCCUUUGAGUUUUAGCCUUGCGGCCGUACUCCCCAGGCGGGGUGCUUAAUGCGUUAGCUUCGGCACGGAUGGGGUCGAUGUCCACCCACACCUAGCACCCAACGUUUACGGCUAGGACUAC